CGUUCAACACCACAGUGUAGACUUUCUGUGUUAUUGCUACCUUGCUCACUGAGUAAGCGUUUUCACAGUUCUUCCUACUGAAUAUAUUUGAAGCGGUAUGAGCCUUCGAAUAGAAGAUGAAGAAGCGCGAGAACCGGGAGACAGGAGAAGAGAAGAAGGAAGUGGGAAAAAAAAUGUAGACAAGAUGGACGCCAGUUCCACAGCAAUGCUUUACGUCUACUGUGUCCUUUAAAUAGGAACGCUACAUUAUUUUGGCGCAGUCGACAGCGAACUCCAAUAUGUGGGUGAGAUUUUUCCUUGAGGAGACCUCCGCGGACAAGAUCAUCUUUUCGAGCUCCAAGCUGAAGAUGAACCAGCGGUGGAACUACCUCGCGAACUCAACUCGGCAGAACUCAUGAACCUGGUUUUAGAGAAGGCUUCCAUGGACCCUGAUGAACUACGUCGGAAGGGUGCUGUGAACGUGAACUUGCCUAGCUCUGGUGAUCUUCGACGAAUUAGUUCUUCAACCGAUGCGUCGACAGGACUCUGGAUCACAGUCGUCGACGGAAGAGCUGCUUCGGACACAUGUAGUGCCACAAAUCGUCGAAUGUCGUCAAAGAAAUUCCUGUACCUAAACCUCAGACAGAAUCUGCAGUAUGCGGGAGAAAAGAAUUUUCGUUGCUCUUGUUUGCGUUUCCGUUCUCACGAACACCAUGUGUGCCUCAAGGCCUACAAGACCACCGCCCUACUUGGACAUUGAAACGGCGAAACUACGUUCUAUGAGUACCUGCUGUACCAGAGUCCUGAUUCUAACUGUGGUGUGUUCUAUGUGAAAAGUGGAUAUACGCACUUCCAUGAACUCCGUCUCUGGAACGCUUCUGCUGUGAGCGCCUAUAAAGAAUGUCUUCAAAGAUACGCUUACUACAUACCGCAGGGAGAAAUCAUCACGAUGUAUUACAAUGGGCUAUGCCCACACAUAUUCUUGGAUUAAAGUAGUAGUUCUUGCAACUAAAGAAAAGUCACAGAGUUUCUGUAUGGUUAGCAGAAACCGCACUGACUAACUCUCGCUCGGAUGCUUCUGAAAUGCAGUAUGUAGAUAUACCUUGCUA